GCGAAGCAGUGNUGUGGAGCGAAACUACAAAAAAAUAAGUCUCAGUUCGGAUUGAAGGCUGAAAUUCGCCUUCAUGAAGCCGGAAUUGCUAGUAAUGGCAGGUCAGCAUACUGCCGUGAAUACGUUCCCGGGCCUUGUACACACCGCCCGUCACACCAUGAGAGUUGGGAAUACCCGAAGCCUGUGAGUUAACUUUUAGAGGCAGCAGUCGAAGGUAGAAUCAAUGACUGGGGGUGAAGUCGUAACAAGGUAUC
rnacentral:rRNA from 1 species